rnacentral:rRNA from 1 species
GGGAGGCAGCAGUGGGGAAUAUUGCACAAUGGGCGCAAGCCUGAUGCAGCCAUGCCGCGUGUGUGAAGAAGGCCUUCGGGUUGUAAAGCACUUUCAGUCGUGAGGAAGGUAGUGUAGUUAAUAGCUGCAUUAUUUGACGUUAGCGACAGAAGAAGCACCGGCUAACUCCGUGCCAGCAGCCGCGGUAAUACGGAGGGUGCGAGCGUUAAUCGGAAUUACUGGGCGUAAAGCGCAUGCAGGUGGUUUGUUAAGUCAGAUGUGAAAGCCCGGGGCUCAACCUCGGAAUAGCAUUUGAAACUGGCAGACUAGAGUACUGUAGAGGGGGGUAGAAUUUCAGGUGUAGCGGUGAAAUGCGUAGAGAUCUGAAGGAAUACCGGUGGCGAAGGCGGCCCCCUGGACAGAUACUGACACUCAGAUGCGAAAGCGUGGGGAGCAAACAGGAUUAGAUACCCUGGUAGUCCACGCCGUAAACGAUGUCUACUUGGAGGUUGUGGCCUUGAGCCGUGGCUUUCGGAGCUAACGCGUUAAGUAGACCGCCUGGGGAGUACGGUCGCAAGAUUAAAACUCAAAUGAAUUGACGGGGGCCCGCACAAGCGGUGGAGCAUGUGGUUUAAUUCGAUGCAACGCGAAGAACCUUACCUACUCUUGACAUCCAGAGAACUUUCCAGAGAUGGAUUGGUGCCUUCGGGAACUCUGAGACAG